GAUCUGGCUCAGGAUGAACGCUAGCGACAGGCUUAACACAUGCAAGUCGAGGGGCAGCAUGAUUUGUAGCAAUACAGAUUGAUGGCGACCGGCGCACGGGUGAGUAACGCGUAUGCAACUUACCUAUCAGAGGGGGAUAGCCCGGCGAAAGUCGGAUUAAUACCCCAUAAAACAGGGGUCCCGCAUGGGAAUAUUUGUUAAAGACUCAUCGCUGAUAGAUAGGCAUGCG
rnacentral:rRNA from 1 species